CAUACCAAAGUCAUGUAUGCGUACCCUGACCUGAUAGUGGGUCCAACCAGCUUGGAUACAUAGAAAAUGGCAACCAACGGAGAGACCCAGAAUUGUAAUGACAUGUUUCAGAAUACCAAAAUUGUAAUGGUAUUUCUCCAACUUCGAAGAAUUGUAAUGGCUUAAAUAAAAAAAAACUUUUUUUUUACAAAGACACUCAAAAGAGUAGUGACAAUUAUAAUAGGACAGAUGAAGUAGUGACCAUGCCAAUACUAGGAAACUAUACUGGUACGAUUGGGAAAAAUGAGAGACUUGGACUUAGCAGCAUGCAACUUAAUUCAUUCACAGCGGAGGAGGCAUGGUAUUUUACUUUUUUUUUCUUCAACUCUUCAUCCUUAAUUUUCUAACGGGAGAAUCAAAAUUUCCCGAGUGUCGC
rnacentral:lncRNA from 1 species